rnacentral:tRNA from 1 species
GGCAGAAUGGCCGAGUGGUCUAAGGCGCUGCGUUAAGGUCGCAGUCCGAAAGGGCGUGGGUUCGAACCCCACUUCUGUCA